rnacentral:rRNA from 1 species
AUUGAACGCUGGCGGCAGGCCUGACACAUGCAAGUCGAGCGGAUGAAGGGAGCUUGCUCCUGGAUUCAGCGGCGGACGGGUGAGUAAUGCCUAGGAAUCUGCCUGGUAGUGGGGGAUAACGUCCGGAAACGGGCGCUAAUACCGCAUACGUCCUGAGGGAGAAAGUGGGGGAUCUUCGGACCUCACGCUAUCAGAUGAGCCUAGGUCGGAUUAGCUAGUUGGUGGGGUAAAGGCCUACCAAGGCGACGAUCCGUAACUGGUCUGAGAGGAUGAUCAGUCACACUGGAACUGAGACACGGUCCAGACUCCUACGGGAGGCAGCAGUGGGGAAUAUUGGACAAUGGGCGAAAGCCUGAUCCAGCCAGGCCGCGUGUGUGUAGAAGGUCUUCGGAUUGUAAAGCACUUUAAGUUGGGAGGAAGGGCAGUAAGUUAAUACCUGGCUGUUUUGACGUUACCAACAGAAUAAGCACCGGCGAACUUCGU